GGCAUUGUUGCCCGUGGCAUUGUUUCCGAAGCUCAAUGAGCUUGUUAUUCACUCAAACCCCUUGACAACACAGAGGAGUGGCGAUCCACCAAUGCUGACCUGUUUUCUUCAAGUCACGCUGGGUAUUAAGAUAACACGCAAAAAAACAACUGAUCUGAUUAAGCGACAUAUCAUACUCCCUGUCAGUCCUAAAAGAAAGGUGAAAUCUACAGUUCCAAACGUUCCAAAAUUUCCUUCGAUCACGGCAAAUCAACAUGCUACAGAAACGCUCUGCUCCACGAAAUGUACUGGACAAGAUAAUCCUCUACCC